UUUUAUUAUAAAAUUUUAUAAUAUCAAUUAAAAUAUAAUAGAUAUAUUUUAAUAUUUUCAUAAUUUCAAUUUUAAAUUUUUUAUUAAAUAUUUUUUACUUUUGUAUAUAUAUUGUUUUAAAAAAAAUUGAAAAAAUUUUUACCCUCCCGCAACCGCCUGCAACCGCAAACACAAGCAUGAGCCAGCUUUUGAAUUUAUGAGAUUCGGAGCUGUUUGAAGCGGUUUAGAGCGAUUUGAGUGAUUGUUACAAACCGCCGACAACCGCUACCAACCGCAAAAACUGCAUUUGCGGGUGGUAGCGGGAAAACCAGUCGCCCCCUUAAGUCGUAACGUAGAGAAAUUUUUUUUUACAGAGUGAACAGAAAAAGGAGAAACUUUUCACCGAAUUCUUGGAUGAAGAAAGAUGGAGGAGAAGUCAUGGUUUGGAUUCCGCCCAUCGAGCUCUUGGAUUUAAUAUGUCCGUCACAAAAUUCUGGGAAAGUCGACGGAAUCUGCAGCUUAAAAUCUUGGGACUUGUGCUAGAAAACAACGACAGAACAUGAAGACGCCUUGUGGGUUCUGGAAACUCACCUGGUAGUGGGAACACUUGUCUGGAUAUAGAGGUAUGAUUGGUCAUAAAGAGUUAUGGUAUUCCUCGGGGGGAAAAGCAGCAGCUCUUCUGAGAAAACCAAAUCAGAAUGGGUGUGCACGAGUUUCACUACACCCUCUUACCUGAAGUCUGAAGACAAGGAGAUGUAUGGCAUUUGCAUAGUUGAAUCAAUGGUUAGAUGUUAUGAGAAUCUCGUGGCUUGUUUUUGAAUAUAGCUAGGAUAUAAUCGAUCAAAGAUCUUGAAACAUGUGAUCUUGUGUGGGUUUUAAAAUGUGAACGCUAAGGCGUGAGGCGACCUCAGUUGGAGGGGUCAUGGCCUUACAGAGGUGAGGCGAGGUGUUUUCAGGAAGGCGACGCUCCACCACGCCUCACGCCUCACGCCUCACGCCUCACACGCAUUGGACGCCUCUGCAAAAAAAAGGGGCGGACAAGCUUUUGUCUGCAGAGUUCCAGCCUUCUCUAGAGGAGUUGAUACCGUUUCUGCCACAAAAUCGUCAGUUUUUGAUGUAUUCCGCUGCAUCUCCUGUCACUGUGAAGGCUUUGACGGAUCGACGCUAUUUGUUAUCAACCUCAUGGAUGUUAUUUAAGUAUUUUGUAUGUUUAAAACUUGAGAAUCCUUUUUGAAUGUUUAAAACUUGGUGUGUUGCAAAAUAAAAAUAUUUAACACAUGUAAAACUCUAAAAUAUAUAGUAUUAAAAAGGGGAAAAUGUUUUUACAAAAAAAAUUCACAUGUAAAACGUGCAGCUGUCAUAUAUAGAUUUAAUAUCUCGAUUUAGUGAUAUUCUACAAAAAAAAUUCAUUAAAACGGAUAUAAAAUCAAUACGAAAGAUAAAUAUUUAUCAUCUUUUUUAGAUUUUAAAACCGUUUAUGUUUCAUAAAAUUUGUUUUGUUUUAUUCAUGUUAAAAUAAUAAUAUAAAAAAAAUACUCAUGUAAAACGUGCAGCCGUUAUAUACAUAAAUUUAAUAUUCUAAUUAUACUUAGUAAUUCUUGGUAAUCUUCAACGUAAUAGUAAUACCACUUUACACAUAGUAAUACUUUGGCAAAUUUUAAGUUUUAUUAGUAAAACCAUGUCCAAAUGAAAUAUUUUAUAGUAAAACCAAUGAUUUUAUAUAGUGUAUGUCAUUAAGGAAAAGUAUUACAGAAACAGUUUACCAGAAAUAAGUAUUUUUAUAGAUUCUCCUUACUAUAGCCUAACGAUUCACGUAACAACCAUGAAAGUUAAGGCAUCAUUUUGGAAAAAUGGUAAAUAUUCCUAAAACUAUAGAAAAUAAUCAUCUAAAUAGUUUUAACUAUAUACAUUGUCUACUAAUAGAUAAUAUAUGGGUUCUAUAUGUUAAAUAUACGUACUACUUGCAAUAUAUAUGGGUUUAAAAUUACACAUAAUAAAACCAAGUAAUCCUAGUAGUCCGAAUUAAUAUAAUAAACCCAGUAAUCUUAGUAUUUCGAAUUACACACAGUAAAUUUAGUAAUCCUAGUAGUCGGAUUACACACAAUAAACCCAGUAAUCCUAGUUGUCAGGUUAUACACAAUGAAAACAUGAUAAAUAAAAGCUUGUCUUAUUCCUCUACAUGCCAUUGCGUAUGAUACAUCCACACCAGUCCUGCGUAUAACCAAAUCGAUGUUACUGUCCUUUCUGAAAGUUUUCUAGGUAAAAGUUAUCUAAAUUUUCAGAACAACGAUCUCAGGGAACAAUUAUAUAUUUGCAUCAUAACUUUUAGGGUAAUUCAGUUUUCAGUUAUUUUGGUUAGUUAUUUCAGUCCGCUCAAAAAAUUUGUCAGACAGAAUUUAGGAGACUUUGUUAAGACCUAUCAGCAGAUUCUCCACGCUAGUGUGGUUGGUCAUGAGCUUGAUGUGGAGAAGCAAAGAUUUGGGGUAUGUUCUGAUGAAGUAUCCAGAGUUGUUAGGGUUUAAGCUCGAAGGGAUAAUGAGUACAUUAGUUGCUUAUUUGGCGUCAAGGAAUAGAUGCUACCUUUGGUUACCGAUAAAGGACAAGAUGUCUACAAAACACUACUUUUUCAGCGUGAAGCUCAAGAUUGAUCCUGAAGGAUUUGCUCGUGUUGUUGAGAAGAUGCCAAGAGUUGUAAGCCUUAAGCAGUUAAGCAUAACUGUGAUAAUGAAACCUUUUAGAGUUUCUGUUAGGAAUUUAUGGAACUGGUUCCUCAACUGCAGUGACCAAAGGUUUGAGGAACGGUUGGAAUGUAACUUUACUGAUGCAGAUAUGCCUAAUAAAUAGUAAUGGUAGUGAUGAGGUUGCAUCUUGCGUUAUUUACAUUAUCUAUGAUAUACAUCUUAUUUUAAUGAUAUUUCAGAAAAAAUAUCAUCAAAAUCAGACAUAAUAAACCCACAAAAAAAACAGUUUUAAAAUUAUUUUCAAAUUUU